UCCUUCAGUUGAUCCACCUCUUCACCUUUAGCAUUGGCUUGAAUUUGAAGAGCAAGAGCUUGGAUCUGAUCAGAUAAUGAAACGAAAGAAGCUUGUCCUGCAUUCUUCAAGUUCUGAACUUCGCUUUCCAAAGCAUAUAUCUGACCCCGCAAUUCCAAGAGAACAUCAAUGAUUCUGCGAAAAUCUGCUGAGUUAUCAGUUUGCGUACUGGCUUCGGCACGAUCUGAUGGAGU
rnacentral:lncRNA from 1 species